rnacentral:rRNA from 1 species
GAUGAACGCUGGCGGCGUGCCUAAUACAUGCAAGUCGAGCGAACAGACGAGGAGCUUGCUCCUCUGACGUUAGCGGCGGACGGGUGAGUAACACGUGGAUAACCUACCUAUAAGACUGGGAUAACUUCGGGAACCCUGAGCUCAUACCGGAUAAUAUAUUGAACCGCAUGGUUCAAUAGUGAAAGACGGUUUUGCUGCCACUUAUAGAUGGAUCCGCGCCGCAUUAGCUAGUUGGUAAGGUAACGGCUUACCAAGGCAACGAUGCGUAGCCGACCUGAGAGGGUGAUCGGCCACACUGGAACUGAGACACGGUCCAGACUCCUACGGGAGGCAGCAGUAGGGAAUCUUCCGCAAUGGGCGAAAGCUUGACGGAGCAACGCCGCGUGAGUGAUGAAGGUCUUCGGAUCGUAAAACUCUGUUAGUAGGGAAGAACAAAUGUGUAAGUAACUAUGCACGUCUUGACGGUACCUAAACAGAAAGCCACGGCUAACUACGUG